rnacentral:rRNA from 1 species
GAUGAACGCUGGCGGCGUGCCUAAUACAUGCAAGUCGAGCGAACGGACGAGAAGCUUGCUUCUCUGAUGUUAGCGGCGGACGGGUGAGUAACACGUGGAUAACCUACCUAUAAGACUGGGAUAACUUCGGGAAACCGGAGCUAAUACCGGAUAAUAUUUUGAACCGCAUGGUUCAAAAGUGAAAGACGGUCUUGCUGUCACUUAUAGAUGGAUCCGCGCUGCAUUAGCUAGUUGGUAAGGUAACGGCUUACCAAGGCAACGAUGCAUAGCCGACCUGAGAGGGUGAUCGGCCACACUGGAACUGAGACACGGUCCAGACUCCUACGGGAGGCAGCAGUAGGGAAUCUGCCGCAAAGGGCGAAAGCCUGACGGAGCAACGCCGCGUGAGUGAUGAAGGUCUUCGGAUCGUGAAACUCUGUUAUUAGGGAAGAACAUAUGUGUAAGUAACUGUGCACAUCUUGACGGUACCUAAUCAGAAAGCCACGGCUAACUACGUG